AAAAAUAACGAAGUAAAUGAUUUUUUUAAUGAAUGUCAUUUGAAAGAUAUGUUAAUUUUAUGAAAUUAAUUCCGUAAAAAAAUAAAUAGAAGAAUUAUAAAUUAAUUCAGAAAAUUAAUUCAUUUAAUACUCUUUAAUUCAAAUUUCAAAAGUGAAGUAGUUUAAUGAAAAAAAUAUUAUAUUGUGAAAAUCAUAAUAUGAAACAUAUCUUUCAAAUACCAUAAUCAAUUUCUGUCGAAUAAAAAAUAAAAAUAAAUAAAUAAACACAAUAACAAACCAAAUAAAAUAAAUGAAAACGAGGAAACAGAAACAAACACUGCAACUCGUUAAACACAUACAAUAAAAUCAUAAAAAAAAAUUCAAUUCGAAACAUACCACAAGUUAAAAAAAAAUCAA
rnacentral:lncRNA from 1 species